GAAAGCCUGAAGCUGGAAAGGCAGUGUUCACGCUGGUGUGUCCAAUGCCAUCCCCUGGCAGAAAGCAUUGUCAUUCUCCCCAGAAGAAUCUUUGAAGGAUAGGCUGCUGCCCUCCAUUGUAACUAAGUCUUCUCUGAUGCUAACCACUACCCUCCUAAGCUCCCACAUCCCCUAUCCAGCCACACAUAUAUUGGAUUGUGCUCUGUGCUCACCCUCUCCCCUUUAAUGGACCGAAUUAGACCUAGGGGCAGCUCAGCUCUCUCAAGGUUGCUAGUUUAUGAAAACACAUCUUCCCAGAGCUUUCUUGGUCCUACUUCACAAUCCUUGUCCAGCCCCACAAUCAAUCGUCCCACCUGAUUAAACAUCAUUCACUUCUCUGUUAACUCCUGA